rnacentral:misc_RNA from 1 species
AAGUUCAUUGCUUGGUGCGGUGUUGACAGGCUUGCGGACGGCGAGCCGCCCCUUGGAGUUACUCAGUCAUGAAUGAGCCGGUUAAGAAGAGCUACCUGCCCGUCGUGCAUAAGGAGGAGGAAGACUUUAUUCGGUAGAGUGAACCGACGGCACAGUCGUCCGAAAGAAAAAAAUGUAUCACCCGCCCAACUGUAUGCAUAGUACGAAGAUACUUACGAAGCUGUAUGACACAAUAAAUAAUUAAGUAAAAAAGAAUUAUUUCAG